GAUGAACGCUGGCGGCGUGCCUAAUACAUGCAAGUCGAGCGAACGGACGAGAAGCUUGCUUCUCUGAUGUUAGCGGCGGACGGGAGAGUAACACGUGGAUAACCUACCUAUAAGACUGGGAUAACUUCGGGAAACCGGAGCUAAUACCGGAUAAUAUUUUGAACCGCAUGGUUCAAAAGUGAAAGACGGUCUUGCUGUCACUUAUAGAUGGAUCCGCGCUGCAUUAGCUAGUUGGUAAGGUAACGGCUUACCAAGGCAACGAUGCAUAGCCGACCUGAGAGGGUGAUCGGCCACACUGGAACUGAGACACGGUCCAGACUCCUACGGGAGGCAGCAGUAGGGAAUCUUACGCAAUGGGCGAAAGCCUGACGGAGCAACGCCGCGUGAGUGAUGAAGGUCUUCGGAUCGUAAAACUCUGUUAUUAGGGAAGAACAUAUGUGUAAGUAACUGUGCACAUCUUGACGGUACCUAAUCAGAAAGCCACGGCUAACUACGUG
rnacentral:rRNA from 1 species